UACAGAGGCCCCGAGCGUUAGGCGGAAUCACUGGGCUUAAAGCGUGUGUAGGUGGAUGCCUAAGUACCUUGUGAAAUCCCACGGCUUAACCGUGGAAUUGCUGGGUAUACUGGGUGUCUUGAGCCACUCAGGGGCUACCGGAACAAAUGGUGGAGCGGUGAAAUGCGUAGAUAUCAUUUGGAACGCCAAUGGUGAAAACAGGUAGCUGGGGGUGUGCUGACACUGAGACACGAAAGCCAGGGAGCAAACGGG
rnacentral:rRNA from 1 species